rnacentral:rRNA from 1 species
CCUAGUAAGCGUGAGUCAUCAGCUCACGUUGAUUACGUCCCUGCCCUUUGUACACACCGCCCGUCGCUACUACCGAUUGAAUGGCUUAGUGAGACCUUUGGAUUGGGGUUUAGGGAUCGGAAACGAUCUUUAUUUUCCGAGAAGUCGGUCAAACUUGGUCAUUUAGAGGAAGUAAAAGUCGUAACAAGGUUUCCGUAGGUGAACCUGCGGAAGGAUCAUUAAAAAAUAUAUAUCCGAGAAUUUAUUUUCCCGGAUUAUUUGUAUUCAAAUUCCCACUCUUUUAUAAAUAUAUAAAUUAUAUAAAACAAAAUAAAAAAAGAAAACUUUCAACAACGGAUCUCUUGGCUCUCGCAUCGAUGAAGAACGCAGCGAAAUGCGAUACGUAGUGUGAAUUGCAGAAUUCCGUGAAUCAUCGAAUCUUUGAACACAAAUUGUACUUCCCAGUAAUCUGGGGAGAAUGCUUGGUUGAGGGUCAUUAAAAUAACAUUCGUAAAUUUUUUUGCGGAUUUGAGUUUUCCAGUAUUAAUUAAUAAAUGUUGGUAACUUCAAAAUUAUUUAUCACUUGAUACAAGUUGAAAACGUGCUAUAUGUGUGGUUCGCUGACAACUUGUUCAUCUUAUAUAUAUUAUGCGUGCACUUGGUUACCCACUUUGUGCAAGUAUAUAUUUUUUUUUAUGACCUCAGCUCAAGUAAGAACACCCGCUGAACUUAAGCAUAUCAAUAAGCGGAGGAAAAGAAACUAACAAGGAUUCCCCUAGUAACGGCGAGUGAAGAGGGAAAAGCUCAAAUUUUAAAUCUACCUGGUUCCCAGGUCGAAUUGUAAUUUGAAGAAGCGAUAUCGGUGUGGAGGUCUGGUUCAAGUUCUUUGGGACAAGACAUCAUGGAGGGUGAGAAUCCCGUACAUGAUCAGACCAAAAUACUUAAUAUUCGUUUUUCUAAGAGUCGAGUUGUUUGGGAAUGCAGCUCAAAAUGGGUGGUAGACUUCACCUAAGGCUAAAUAUCAGCGAGAGACCGAUAGCGAACAAGUACUGUGAAGGAAAGAUGAAAAGAACUUUGAAAAGAGAGUUAAAUAGUACGUGAAAUUGUUGAAAGGGAAACGAUUGAAGUCAGUCAUGCUAGUGAAAAUUCAGUUUGGUGGGUUUUGGGUUCACGAGUGAAACAGGGUCAAACCGUUUCUCUUUUGGACUUGGGAUUUGUCAGAUGCACUUUUUCUUUGGCAGGUCAGCGUCGAUUUCGGGGGUUGUAAAAUACUUUGGGAAAAGUAGCUCUGCUUCGGGAGAGUGUUAUAGACCUUUGGUGAUGCAGCCUGUGGGAUCGAGGAUUGCAGCAAAUGCCUUUGGCUUGUCGCCUGAUUACUGGUUGUUACCUCGCUUGUGACAACAUUCUUGCCACCGGUGAGUACUAAUGGCUAUUUGUUAGAGCGAUCAAAAAUUUGCUAGGGAUGCUGACGUAAUGGCUUUAAACGACCCGUCUUGAACACGGACCAAGGAG